AAUAGAUACCCGGGUAGUCCACGCCCUAAACGAUGCAUAUUUGGUGUAGGUCAUUCAGUUGAUCUGUGCCGGAGCUAACGCGUUAAAUAUGCCGCCUGGGGAGUACAGUCGCAAGGCUGAAACUCAAAGGAAUUGACGGGGGCCCGCACAAGCGGUGGAGCAUGUGGUUCAAUUCGACGCAACGCGAAGAACCUUACCUGGGCUCGAACGGCUGGUCAACGAUCGUGGAAACACGGUUACUCCGCAAGGAGGUCCAGUCGAGGUGCUGCAUGGCUGUCGUCAGCUCGUGUCGUGAGAUGUUGGGUUAAGUCCCGCAACGAGCGCAACCCUUGUCCUGUGUUGCCAUCCCGCAAGGGGGGACUCGCAGGAGACCGCCAGCGAUAAGCUGGAGGAAGGUGGGGAUGACGUCAAGUCCUCAUGGCCUUUAUGUCCAGGGCUACACACGUGCUACAAUGGCCGGUACAAAGCGCAGCUAAGUCGCGAGACGGAGCCAAUCGACAAAAAACCCGGUCUCAGUUCGGAUUGC
rnacentral:rRNA from 1 species